rnacentral:lncRNA from 1 species
AAUAUUAAUCUGUACUAAUAGAAAAGAAAAUCAGCUAAGUUGAUUUCAAACUAUUGGAUUUUAUUAUAAUUUGAUAAAAAAAAUUUCAGUAGGCGUGAUUAAAACCAUAUUGGUUCACCAGUUCAAUAGUUGAAUUGUUGGUUUGAACAAUUCAAAAUAAUUUUUUGACUUAUCUGAUUCAAAUGGUUGAACUAAAUUGCUUUAUAUAUUGGAUCACGAUCGUAUAGG